UACGUAGGGAGCAAGCGUUGUUCGGAUUUACUGGGCGUAAAGGGCGCGUAGGCGGCGCGGUAAGUCACUUGUGAAAUCUCUGAGCUUAACUCAGAACGGCCAAGUGAUACUGCAGUGCUAGAGUGCAGAAGGGGCAAUCGGAAUUCUUGGUGUAGCGGUGAAAUGCGUAGAUAUCAAGAGGAACACCGGAGGCGAAGGCGGCUUGCUGGGCUUGGUCUGACGCUGAGGCGCGAAAGCGUGGGGAGCGAACAGG
rnacentral:rRNA from 1 species